GUAACUUUAGAUUCAUUGAUUUUAGCUUUUUUUCUUGUUUAUUUUUAAACUCUUUUUAAUAUUUCCAUCUUUGAAUUAAUUUAAUUAACCAAAUGUAAUCAAGUAUUUUGUCCUGGCCAUGUUAAGGUAGCAAAUUGUUAAAUAACUGCGUGAUUAUUGUUUCAGGCAACUAUUGUCAAAUUAAUCCUAUUGGUGAUGAUUUUGUAUACUUUUGACAAUUCUGGAGAUGGUUAAGAAUAAAAAAAGUCAAAGCAGGAUGACAAAUUGAAUCAAGAGGAGCAAAAGAUCCACAUGAAAAAGAUAAGAAUCUUUGGAGGAGUGAAAAGUCAAUAGAACGAAUUUAAUCCGGUCUUAAAGGUAAUCAUCAGGAAAAGAUGGAGAGAUACAGAUUUAUUAACAUGGGACAAAGUCUGAGACAAGCAUAGAUAAACAAAGAUGGAAUAAAGAAAACAGUUAAAUUACCGUGAUUUGUUUGCUUUACAAUGCAGAUGACAGUUAAACAAUUGGUUCCAAUAAUGGUUGACAACAGCAGCCCAGAAUAGAGCUUUUUUCAUUUCACAAAAUUUCAUCAGCUGAAUUACAAGACCUAAAAACUGAAAAGUUAAUUACAUGCUCUAUAUUGAUAAACCAUUUUCAAAUAUUGUAAAUAGUGAAAAGGUUGAAUGGAAUCGAGAAGUAAACCAAACAUUGAUACAUCAAUCAACACUGGAAAAUGAGAAAAACCAAGUAAAAGCUGGACAAUAUUAAUGAUUGGAUCAUUACGUUUACUAUCAAUAUUGGUUCCAAGGGCACUGAAAUUGGCAAAGAGGAGAGAUGAAAAACAUUGAGGUUAUUAAGGUGAUGACAGACGCCAUUUUGUCCAAGAAAAAAAAGCAAGCUGAAACUCUGGCCUAAACAUUUUUCAGUUUUUUUGCUGUUUAUAAUGUUUGAAGAGCUGUUAAUAAAGUCAAAUGGAAGAGAUGAUGAAGAUAAAGUUAAAAAAUGUGUUAAUAUUUUACAGCAUCUCCAAGUUAUUUCAGCUUCUUUACUUUCAUCGUCAUUAUCAUCAACAACAGCAUCUUCUUCUCCUUCCUUCCGUCACAAAGCAGUUGACCUAAUGUAAUACAGUUGUCUUUUAAUCACUGUUACACGCUCAUCUUCAUUACUAAGCUAUGCACAUCACAAGUUACUCAUAAGUUACUCACAAGUUUGGGAUGCCGAUGUAAAAAACGCGAGGAUCAAGACUAUGAUAAUGAAGAUGAAGAUGAUCAUCUUUACCUUAUGGUUAUUGCACUUCUUUAUAAUAGUUUCCGCUUUUAAAGAUUAAGAAGCGAGCAGCAACAGCAAAAAAACGAGUCUUGCACUAUUUAAGGCUCAUUGAGUUAGAUUUUUCAUUGAGCUUUAAACAAUCAAUCACCCAGUUAAUCUCUAAUGGUUUCAAUUCAGCUUAUCAAUUGACAACAGCGACAAUGGAAGCCAAUGGAAGCUACAAAAAAAACUUGGACUUGAUAAUGCUAUACAUCUUAGACUGUGAUCCUAAAUCAGUAGAGACUAAUUAGCAGUUAAUAAAAACUUGGUUGAAACAUUUGGAAUCAAUCUGGAAAUAUUCAUAGACUCUAAAGCUUCAUCUCAUCUUCGUGUGAAAUGAGCGGAUCAAUUAACAGCCAUUUAGUGCACCUUUUAACGCGCAUUGACUUAGUUUGUCUUGACAAGAUUAAAGGGUUAAUCCUAUUGUCCUUUUGACGGAAAAUUAGAAAGCUAAAGGAAUUGGAAAGGAACCGCAUUUUCCAAUGAAUUGGAUUUUAGGCUCAAAUCCGACAGUCUUACCGUCAACAACAAUUUAACGGCCACGAAUAUCGAUAAUAUCAAUGAUAAUUUAAACAUCUUAAAAUCUAUCUGUUUUCAUGAAGCAAACGCGGAAACAAGCUGGACAAUGUGCUUCUCUAAAUGAACGUGUGAAUUAUCCUGUUUUGUGUUAUUAACAAUAACCAUAAAUUUGCUUCAGCCCACAAAAACAAUUGUAAAACUGCAAGCCUUUGUGACAGUAUAACACUUACUUAAAUCUUGAUAAGUUACGUGAUUUGCUGUACAAAUUUAAAGCUUUAAAAAGUUUGCUUUUUCGGUUAAUCAAACAAUUGAGCAUAUUUCUAUUCAUGAUAUUGAGGUUAGAUCUUUUCAUUGUAUCUCUGAUAGGUUUGUGUGUUAUUCAUCUAUUCCUGGAUUGAAAGUACAAUUAGAUGAGAAGUUAACUCAUACUGUUUGUAAUAUGAAACAAUGUUGAAACCUUUUUACAUAAUUUAUGGCAACUUUUCAUGUUUCAUUGACCAUAAACAAGAGGAAGAUCAGGUGAUAAAAAGAUGUUGGUUAUUAAUAUAUAUCUACAAUUGUUUAAAGUUUUAAUGUUGGAUCCCAAAAAAAUGAGUUACAAGUUGACUGUCAAGUUAAGGUGUUACUACAGUUGUGAUUCAAAUGAUUUACCUUACAAAUCAUUGAUGGUCGCGCCAAAUGAUAUCAAAUUUCCUUCAACCUGACAAAACACACCAAAAAUAAAGUAUCAAAUCCAUGCUAAGCCAAGAUUGAAUAACCUGUCCAUCAUAAAGUACAUAAUCAAGCAAAUAACCGGCAGAAGAUGAAAUAUUCAACGAAAACCAAUUUGUACUCCUUAAAUUUCAAAGCCAGGAAUUAAAAAGAAGCAAAAAUUAAUUCAAAAAAGUAAAAAUUUUCAAUGUGAAAAUGGAAACCUACAAACAACGGCAAAAAUAUCACCAUUUACAUGAAAAGGAAGCUGUAAAAAGUAAUACCAAAACUGCAGUAAAAUGGUGAAAAAAGAUGCAAAAAAAAGAUGAGGAAGAAGACAAAGGACAAGUCCAAUUACACAAAAUAUCAAGCUUAAUGAUUAAAGAAAUGGCUAAUUUUUAAUGUCAAUUGCGUGCUAAAAGAAAUGUUUACUUUCACUUUCAUCAUAAUCGUCUUCAUCAUCAUCCCUGUCUCUCUGAAGAUGCAAAUAUCAUGGACUAUUCCCAUUGAAUAUAAAUCAAUUAAUUGUCUAUUAAAGCUAGGGAUGAGCAAUCAAAAAGAGAAGCCAGAAAGAGAGAUGAUAACCAUGCAUAACGAUCAUCCAAAACAUCAUCAUCCUCAUGUACAUAGUUAACAGAUGACUUGCCUCAAGUACCAACUCCAAAGGAUACAAACAUUUACCUCAAAAAUCCCAAGCAAGAAAGAGUAAGAUGAUAAUGAUGAAAGGAUGAUGAAGGCGAUCUGAACGAAACCGUAUUCCGUCUGGAUUUAUUGUCGUCUCUUCGUGUCCUCUGGUUUUGUUUUCAUUCUCAAUUAUCUUCUACUUUUUGGCCCUUUUUACCUUAUUUUGUUAAACCAUUUCCUUACUAAUUUCUCAUCUCUCAAUCUUACCUUUUGUUGUUGAAACAACACAAAAAAACCAUGUGAAUACGUGAAACUCUAGAUACAUGUUUUAAUGUUGAUCAUCAAAAAUGAUUCUUACUCUCUCCAAGUUCAGGGACAACAUAAUGUACCUUUAAAGCCUCCUGAAGUGAGAUGAGAGAGACAAGAUUGAAGACGAAGAUGAUGAUCAAAUGGUAAGGAGUCAAUGUCAACGUCUUAAGAGUGCUCUCGUCUUCCGUUCGUCUUCAACUUCACCUCAUGGGAACUUGCUAUUCCCUUGAUAAUGAUAAAGAUGAUUAUAAUGACGAUAAUGUUGUUGUUUCAAUCAAAAAGGUGGACCUAAACUAAUAAGUUACACUUUCAGUGGCUUUACUCUGGACAUCAUUUGUAAACCCUUUUCUUGUCAAACCUUUGUAUCGAUAUCCUUAAUUGAUGAUCAUCUUGUUGUCUGUCCAGGUCAAUUAGCGCUUGUCUAUGAAUGUCACCGUCAUUAGUAACCAGAAUGGAUUGAAAUUUUGAAGACAAAAGCAACUGAUCCAUUGUAACACAGGUAAACACAGGGAAAAAUGUGAACAUUUGAAAAGUAGCCAUUGGGAUGAACCCCAUCAAGACCUUGAAUCUUGACUCAGGGUGUGCCUAGUCUUGAUUAUUUAUGAUUUAAUUAUAAUUAAAAUUGGCCACAAAAAUGAA